GUAGUCCACGCCCUAAACGAUGUGUGCUAGAUGUCGGGGGACUUGUCUCUCGGUGUCGGAGUUAACGUUUUAAGCACACCGCCUGGGGAGUACGGCCGCAAGGUUAAAACUCAAAGGAAUUGACGGGGACCCGCACAAGCGGUGGAUGAUGUGGAUUAAUUCGAUGCAACGCGAAAAACCUUACCUACCCUUGACAUGUACGGAACCUAGCUGAAAGGUUAGGGUGCUCGAAAGAGAGCCGUAACACAGGUGCUGCAUGGCUGUCGUCAGCUCGUGUCGUGAGAUGUUGGGUUAAGUCCCGCAACGAGCGCAACCCUCGUUCUUAGUUGCUACGUUAAGGCACUCUAAGGAGACUGCCGGUGAUAAGCCGGAGGAAGGCGGGGAUGACGUCAAGUCCUCAUGGCCCUUACGGGUAGGGCUUCACACGUCAUACAAUGGUCGGUACAGAGGGUCGCGAACCUGCGAAGGGGAGCUAAUCUCAGAAAACCGAUCGUAGUCCGGAUUGCAGUCUGCAACUCGACUGCAUGAAGUUGGAAUCGCUAGUAAUCGCGGAUCAGCAUGCCGCGGUGAAUACGUUCUCGGGUCUUGUACACACCGCCCGUCACACCAUGGAAGUGGGUAUUACCAGAAGUGGCUAGUUUAACCGCAAGGAGAACGGUUACCACGGUAGGAUCCAUGACUGGGGUG
rnacentral:rRNA from 1 species